GUCUUUUUGAAUAUAAUUUAAAGUCUAAUCUGCCCACUGAUAAAUAUUAAAGGGCUGCAGUAUAUUGACUGUACAAAGGUAGCAUAAUCAUUAGUUUUUUAAUUGAAAACUUGUAUGAAAGAUUUGAUGAAAUAUGAACUGUCUCUUGGUUAUUAUUAAAAAUUUAUUUUUUAGUUAAAAAGCUAAAAUAAUUUUAAAAGACGAGAAGACCCUAUAGAGUUUUAUAUUUAACUAUAUUUUAAAAAUAUAUAAAAAUUAAUAUUAAAUAUAUUUGAAUAUUAUAUUGGGGUGAUAGAAAAAUUAAAUUAACUUUUUUUAAAUUUUAAACAUUAAUAAAUGAUAAAAUGAUCCAUUAAUAAUGAUUAUAAGAAAAAAUUACCUUAGGGAUAACAGCGUAAUGUUUUUUUUUAGUUCAAAUAGAAAAGAAAGUUUGCGACCUCGAUGUUGGAUUAAGAUAAAAUUUAAAUGCAAAAGUUUAAAAUUUUGAUCUGUUCGAUCAUUAAAAUCUU
rnacentral:rRNA from 1 species